rnacentral:rRNA from 1 species
GAUGAACGCUGGCGGCGUGCCUAAUACAUGCAAGUCGAGCGAACAGACGAGGAGUUUGCUCCUCUCACGUUAGCGGCGGACGUGUGAGUAACACGUGGAUCACCUACCUAUAAGACGGGGAUAACUUCGAGAAACCGGAGCUUACCCCGGAUAAUAUAUUGAACCGCAUGGUUCAAUAGAGAAAGUCGGUUUUGCUGUCACUUAUCGCUGCUUCCGCGCCGCUUGAGCUAGUUGGUAAGGUAACGGCCUACCACGGCAACGAUGCGUAGACGACGUGAGAGGGGGGUCGGCCACCCGAGAACGGGAACGGGGUCCAGGCUACUGAGGGAGGCAGCAGAAGGGAAUCGGAGGCAAUGGGCGGAAGCCUGACGGAGCAAGGCGGCGUGAGUGAUGAAGGUGUUCGGAUCGUAAAGCUGGGUUAUUGGGGAAGAACAGAUGUGUAAGUAACUGUGCACGUCUUGACGGUACCGGGUAAGAAAGCCACGGCUAACUACGUG